rnacentral:rRNA from 1 species
GCAUAUCAAUAAGCGGAGGAAAAGAAACUAACUAGGAUUCCCUUAGUAACGGCGAGUGAACCGGGAUGAGCUCAAAUUUAAAAUCUGGCGUCUUUCAGGCGUCCGAGUUGUAAUCUAUAGAGGCGUUUUCCGCGCCGGACCGCGUCCAAGUCUCUUGGAAUAGAGUAUCAAAGAGGGUGACAAUCCCGUACUUGACGCGACAACCGGUGCUCUGUGAUACGUUCUCAAUGAGUCGAGUUGUUUGGGAAUGCAGCUCUAAAUGGGUGGUAAAUUCCAUCUAAGGCUAAAUAUUGGCGAGAGACCGAUAGCGAACAAGUACCGUGAGGGAAAGAUGAAAAGCACUUUGGAAAGAGAGUUAAACAGCACGUGAAAUUGUUAAAAGGGAAACGAUUGAAGUCAGUCGUGUGAAAGGUAUUCAGCCGUCUCUGGCGGUGUAUUUGCCUUUCACGGGUCAACAUCAGUUUGAUCCGGUAGAAAAAGGCGGGAGGAAGGUGGCACCCUCGGGUGUGUUAUAGCCUCCUGUCAUAUGUGCCGGACCAGACUGAGGAACGCAGCUUGCCGCAAGGCCGGGGUUCGCCCACGUACAAGCUUAGGAUGUUGACAUAAUGGCUUUAAACGACCCGUCUUGAAACACGGACCAAG